GACGAACGCUGGCGGCGUGCUUAACACAUGCAAGUCGAACGGAAGGGCCCUGCUUUUGUGGGGUGCUCGAGUGGCGAACGGGUGAGUAACACGUGAGUAACCUGCCCUUGACUUUGGGAUAACUUCAGGAAACUGGGGCUAAUACCGGAUAGGAGCUCCUGCUGCAUGGUGGGGGUUGGAAAGUUUCGGCGGUUGGGGAUGGACUCGCGGCUUAUCAGCUUGUUGGUGGGGUAGUGGCUUACCAAGGCUUUGACGGGUAGCCGGCCUGAGAGGGUGACCGGCCACAUUGGGACUGAGAUACGACCCAGACUCCUACGGGAGGCAGCAGUGGGGAAUAUUGCACAAUGGGCGGAAGCCUGAUGCAGCAACGCCGCGUGCGGGAUGACGGCCUUCGGGUUGUAAACCGCUUUCGCCUGUGACGAAGCGUGAGUGACGGUAAUGGGUAAAGAAGCACCGGCUAACUACGUG
rnacentral:rRNA from 1 species